rnacentral:rRNA from 1 species
AUACGGAGGAUGCGAGCGUUAUCCGGAUUUAUUGGGUUUAAAGGGUGCGUAGGCGGGACUGUAAGUCAGGGGUGAAAUACUGCAGCUUAACUGUAGCAUUGCCUUUGAAACUGCCGUUCUUGAGUACAGUUGAGGUAGGCGGAAUGUGGUGUGUAGCGGUGAAAUGCAUAGAUAUACCACAGAACGCCGAUUGCGAAGGCAGCUUACUAAGCUGUUACUGACGCUGAGGCACGAAAGCGUGGGGAUCAAACAGGAUUAGAUACCCUGGUAGUCCACGCUGUAAACGAUGAUUACUGGUUGUUAGCGAUAUAUAGCUAGUGACUGAGCGAAAGCAUUAAGUAAUCCACCUGGGGAGUACGUCGGCAACGAUGAAACUCAAAUGAAUUGGCGGGG